rnacentral:rRNA from 1 species
CAGCAGCCGCGGGAAUACGAAGGGUGCAAGCGUUACUCGGAAUUACUGGGCGUAAAGCGUGCGUAGGUGGUGGUUUAAGUCCGUUGUGAAAGCCCUGGGCUCAACCUGGGAAUUGCAGUGGAUACUGGGUCACUAGAGUGUGGUAGAGGAUAGUGGAAUUUCCGGUGUAGCAGUGAAAUGCGUAGAGAUUGGAAGGAACAUCUGUGGCGAAGGCGACUAUCUGGGCCAACACUGACACUGAGGCACGAAAGCGUGGGGAGCAAACAGGAUUAGAUACCCCUGUAGUCCCUGUCUCUUAUAC